rnacentral:rRNA from 1 species
GCAAGUCGAGGGGUAACAGGAGUAGCAAUACUUGCUGACGCCGGCGCACGGGUGAGUAACGCGUAUGCAACCUACCCCUAACUGACGCAUAGACCGGAGAAAUCCGGAUUAAUACCUCAUAAUAUUUCGAAUUCGCAUGUUUUCGAAAUUAAAGCUCUGGCGGUUAGAGAUGGGCAUGCGUGACAUUAGUUAGUUGGUGAGGUAACGGCUCACCAAGACUGCGAUGUCUAGGGGGUCUGAGAGGAUGGUC